rnacentral:rRNA from 1 species
GACGAACGCUGGCGGCGUGCUUAACACAUGCAAGUCGAACGGAAAGGCCUCUUUCGGGGGGUACUCGAGUGGCGAACGGGUGAGUAACACGUGAGUAACCUGCCCUUGACUUUGGGAUAACUUCAGGAAACUGGGGCUAAUACCGGAUAGGAGCUCCUGCUGCAUGGUGGGGGUUGGAAAGUUUCGGCGGUUGGGGAUGGACUCGCGGCUUAUCAGCUUGUUGGUGGGGUAGUGGCUUACCAAGGCUUUGACGGGUAGCCGGCCUGAGAGGGUGACCGGCCACAUUGGGACUGGGAUACGGCCCAGACUCCUACGGGAGGCAGCAGGGGGGAAUAUUGCACAAUGGGUGGAAGCCUGAUGCAGCAACGCCGUGUGCGGGAUGACGGCCUUCGGGUUGUAAACCGCUUUCGCUCAUGACGAAGCUUUGUGUGACGGUAGUGGGUAAAGAAGCACCGGCUAACUACGUG